rnacentral:rRNA from 1 species
GAUGAACGCUGGCGGCGUGCCUAACACAUGCAAGUCGAGCGUGAUUUAUGAGGACGAAACUUCGGUCUAGGAAUCAUAAUGAAAGCGGCGGACGGGUGAGUAACGCGUAGGCAACCUGCCCUUAACACAGGGAUAGCCUCGGGAAACCGGGAUUAAAACCUGAUGAUGCCAAAGAGUCACAUGGCUCGUUGGCCAAAGAUUUAUCGGUUAAGGAUGGGCCUGCGUCUGAUUAGUUUGUUGGUGGGGUAACGGCCUACCAAGACUACGAUCAGUAGCCGACCUGGGAGGGUGAUCGGCCACAUUGGAACUGAGACACGGUCCAAACUCCUACGGGAGGCAGCAGUGGGGAAUAUUGCACAAUGGGCGAAAGCCUGAUGCAGCAACGCCGCGUGAGCGAUGAAGGCCUUUGGGUCGUAAAGCUCUGUCCUUGGGGAAGAUAAUGACAGUACCCUUGGAGGAAGCCCCGGCUAAAUACGUGCCAGCCGCCGCAGUAACAC